rnacentral:rRNA from 1 species
UACAGAGGUCUCAAGCGUUGUUCGGAUUCAUUGGGCGUAAAGGGUGCGUAGGCGGCGCGGUAAGUCGGGUGUGAAAUCUCGGAGCUUAACUCCGAAACUGCAUUCGAUACUGCCGUGCUUGAGGACUGGAGAGGAGACUGGAAUUUACGGUGUAGCGGUGAAAUGCGUAGAUAUCGUAAGGAAGACCAGUGGCGAAGGCGGGUCUCUGGACAGUUCCUGACGCUGAGGCUCGAAGGCCAGGGGAGCAAACGGG